CUUAAUUUCAAAUAUCUUGGACCAGGUUCUAAUGGAUUUAAGUAAAUCAGUAGUUGUUUUUGAAAAUACACUUGUCUGUGCAUUUAAAGGAAUAUUUUUCAAGUGUAUCAGGCUAUUUACUUCCGAAUGUGUCUGAAAGUAAUUGAAAUAUCCUAUAUAGCAGAGGUGUCAAACCGGUUCCACGGAGGGCCGAGUGUCUGCAGGUUUUUGCUCUCUCCUUGUAUUUGAUUGGUUAAUUAGGUCACUGAUUGGUGAGUUUCUACCCUCACCUGGUUGUGUAGGUAUGAACUAGGAACCAAUUUAUAGGAAAAACCAAAAACCUGCAGACACUCGGCCCUUUGUGGAACUGGUUUGACACCUGUGCUAUAUAGUAAGGUCUGCAGUAUGCUCCAAAGACCAUGGAGCUAAUGAUGAUGUCUUUUUCAAAUAGUGUUUUGUGAAAAGUCAUUUUGUAAAAUGGAGGGAAUAUCAUAGGAGAAAUAUAGUGUCUUAUAAAAUAAUUCAGAAUAAGAAGAAACCUAUUUUGCCCACAGAAAUGGAUAAUUCCAAAUUAAUUAUGUUAUUCUGCUCACAGUGUAGGCCCAGGGCUGCGUAGAGCACCCCACUAAAAUCUGGCUGGAGAUCACAUCAUAGAAACCUUGGCCUAAAAGUCCUCUGACGUUACCUAGUGUGUUCUCUGGAUUUUGGCUUCAGCCUAUUUUGGCUUCAGCCUAAUAAUUACAUUUAUGAUCUCACAGGUCAUAAAUUUAAUUAUUAUUUUCCAAUUUAAACACAUUAAUCUAUUUAUUUAUUUUGCUUUGGUCACAGCGGUUUAUUAUGUUCCAUUUUAUUUUAGGUAAUCAUUUGUAAACAUCAAAAGUUAGAGGAAAGAAAGUUUUGUUCUCUAUGUCCCAAUGUAGGAGGAGGCAAUGUACUUGUAAAACUCAAUGCAAUUUGAUGCUUAAUUGGCUCUGCUGUACCUCUCUGUCAUUUGUGCUUUUACAGUACAUCAACGCUCUUCAAAUGGGCGCCCAAGCUCUAUUUUGGGGAUUCAGUGGUUUUCCAGACUUUCUCCAAGCCCUUAUUUUCAUCAUUUACAGGAAACUGGUUAGUGUCCAUUCUGGAGUACUACUUAUAGAUUUCUCUGAAUAAUUUACUUUUGCAGGGAAAUAAAAUAAAACAAAC
ensembl:lncRNA